AAGAUUGCAGUCCUGCCUAUAGUUGGCAUGGGAGGAUUAGGAAAGACUACGCUUGCUCAACUGAUCUACCAAGACAAGCGGGUGGAGAGGCAUUUCCAAUUGCGUAUUUGGGUUUGUGUGGGCUCUGUUUUUGAUCUGGGAGAGAUUCUUAAAGCGAUCAUCAGUUCCGCCACUGGGAGACAGAGCGACCUGAAAUUUAUGGACAUGUUACAAUGCAGUGUUCGAGAUGUAUUGGCCGGGAAAAGAUAUCUGCUUGUGUUAGACGACGAAUGGAAUGAAGACUCAUCGAAGUGGGACGACUUAAAAGCGCUGUUAGCUUGCGGAGGAGACGGAAGCAGAGUUGUUGUGACCACGCGUAGUGAUGGAGUGUCGUCCAUGAUGGGCACGCUCACCACUCACAAGCUGGCAUUCCUAUCUGAAGAAGAUUCAUGGGAUUUGUUCAGGAGAAGAGCAUUUCCAAGCGGACAAGAUGAUGAUAAGCAGCAGCAUCAAAAUCUGGUGGAGAUUGGAAAAGCCAUUGUAACAAAGUGUGGGGGAUUGCCUCUCGCAGUAAAGGCCCUGGGCAGCAUGCUGAGCUACCAGAAUGAUGAAAGGGAGUGGUCUGCUAUAAAGGAAAGUAACAUCUGGGAUACCAAAGUGGGUGAAGGUGAUAUCCUACCUGCACUGCUUCUGAGUUAUAAUGACUUGCCUUCGCACCUGAAGCGAUGCUUCGCCUUCUGUGCCAUAUUCCCCAAAGAUUACGAGAUAGAAGUGGACAUGUUGAUUCGACUGUGGAUGGCUCAGGGGUUUAUUCCAUCGGAAGGAACAGCAGAACCGGGGAGGUUAAAGGCCACCGAAUUUUCAUGGAACUACACAAGAGAUGCUUCUUUCAAGACGUAGGCCGAGUUAAAGAACGUAGCUACCUGGACUUUUGGGGUAAUAUCAUGCAUGCUUAUUUUCGUUGGAGAGAUCAUGAGUUAGAAGUCAAAGGAUAUUGCAAUUUGAGAACAUGCAAGAUGCACGACCUCAUUCAUGACCUUGCACAACAUAUAUCAGGGGAAGAAGGUGUUGCGUUGCUAGAGCCAUGCACCGCCACAGCACCAAGGAAAGAUGUGCAUCACUUGUCCUUACCAGGCACCUCCUCGUCUUCCAAAAUCCAUGAGACGCUGGGGAAAUUUCCUGCCCUGCGGACACUACUGGUACGAGAUGCAUAUUAUGGAAAAGCUGUGGACAACAUUUCAAGACCGGCGAAAUUAAGAGUGUUAGGAUUCCAUAAUUUAAAUGCUACGAUGUUGCAAAAUCUAGCACGACAUCUCAAGCAUGUCAGAUUCCUGGACAUUUCUUACUCUACAAUACCAGAGUUACCUGAAGCUAUCACCACGCUGCUCAACUUGCAGACGUUGAAGCUUUCUGGAUGUCAACUACUACGUAAGUUGCCAAGUAAGAUGAAGAAUAUGAGUAAUCUCAGGCAUCUCUAUCUCGAUGAAUGUCCGGAGCUGAGGGACAUGCCCGAAGGGCUGGGGAGAUUAAGCUGCUUGCACACAUUGUCAAAAUACAUCGUGGGUGUUGGUGCUGGGAGAGGAAUAGGACAGCUAAAGGAGUUAAACCUUUCAGGCAAACUAGAGAUAUAUGGCCUGGGAAACGUGAGAAAUGCUGCAAAUGCAAGAGAAGCUAAUCUCCAUUCUAAACGAGACCUACACUCUUUGGCACUAUGUUGGGGAGUUGUCGAUUGGACUGAGGAAGAAUCACUUUCCGAGAAUGUUGAGACGAGAGAUGAGAAUAGCGAGGCGUUAUUGAAAGCACUGGCACCACCCGACGGCAUAAAGGUCUUAUCGAUCUGGGGCUACGGAGGAGUCAGGUUUCCGACAUGGACAUCAGAUGAGCAAUUGUUGAGUCGGUACCAGCUGCUGGUGGAGAUUCAUCUCGGUGGAUGCAGAAAUUGCCAGCAUCUCCCUUCGUUUUGGCAGCUGCCCUCGCUCGAGGUGCUAAGUUUAAAUCAUAUGGAUUCCCUGAAGCAUAUCAUCCGUGGUGAAGGUGGAGGUGAUUGCAGAGAACAAACAUUCCCGGCGUUGAAAAGGCUGGUUCUGGAGGGGAUGCCAAGCUUGGAGCAAUGGUGGGAGGUGGAGGGUGGCGGAGCAGUGGAGGAGGGGAAGUGCUUCCCGCACCUUGUUGAGCUAAGAAUCUCAGAGUGCUCGAAAUUGGGAUCAAUGCCACGGUUGCCUUCCCUCAAAGUUCUGGGUAUGCCGAGCGGCAACAGAAUGUUGUUGGGAUCGAUUGAGAACCUGAGCACAUUAGCCGUCCUCUGUAUUAACACUGAUAGUGUAACUGUAGAUGGCGAGACACGUUCUACCUUUCCUCGUGAUCUACAGUUCCUUGAAGAAUUACGUAUCGUUGGACGCAACGAGAUCGAGCUACAGGGAGAGGACACGAAGGCAUCAUGGAGCGUAGGGCUUCGACGAUUGUAUACCAGUGACUGCGACUGGUUGUUCUCAUCAAGGCAGUCCAUGUUUUGGAAAAGCCUCGUCUCCCUUCACACUCUGACAAUCGAUUCUUGUGAAGAUCUGAGGACGUUCCCUGAGGAGUUUCAAGGCUUGAAGUCCUUGAAAUCAUUAUUUGUUAUCGAUUGUGGCAACCUGAUUGAUUUCUCGCCUGCACUUCCAUCAUCAUCAACAACAAUACCAAUUGGACUCCCACCGGAGCUAGAAGAUCUUUGCAUCUAUAAAUGUGGGGGAUUGAAAAAAAUGCCUAGGUGCCCCACGUCCCUCAAAAGACUCAAUAUUCUUUAUUGCAUUGGUCUAACUUCAUUAACAGAAGACAUUGGUCAGCUCACCUCUCUCGAGAGUUUAUUUCUUGAUGAUUGUCCAAACCUACUGUCCUUGCCACUUGAACUACAACAACUCACGAUGCUUCAUCGGGUGCAUAUCGAGGAUUGCCUCAAGCUUAAAUCAUUACCCCAAGAUUUGUGGCAGUAUCUCUCCGGCCUCCAAUCCUUUACGAUUCUGAAAUGUCCAAUCUUGGAGAAACAAUUAAGAAAAAAAAAAAAGGAGGGAAGGCAUCUAGUGUCACGCAUUCCAGAAUCAACAAUUAUGGAAGUUCGGAGGAAGAAGAGCAUUCAUCAUCAAAAAGAGGACGACAAUUGCAUGAAUACAGCGUGAUGAGCUAGCAAAACUUUCCAUGGACAAGAAAACAAGGCAUCGUGGAACACAGAAGCAAGCAGUGAUGUCAAGAAAAUAUUACAUAUCUCGGACGCGUCAUUUAGACUUGUCUGCCCUCACUGUCAUCUAGCUUUUAGUUUAUGCAGUGCAGAUACAAACCAAAACUUGGAUCCAUGCACAAAGCUCCUAUAUUAUGAUCAGCACCUGCGCCAGAUGCAAAAUAUCAUAUAGUUCUUCAGUUUUUAGGCUGCUGUUGGAAGUUGCUUCGACUUACCUGAAUUCAUGUAACCUAAAGAUCUCGCUAUGCUGCUCACAUCCA